rnacentral:rRNA from 1 species
GACGAACGCUGGCGGCGUGCUUAACACAUGCAAGUCGAACGGAAAGGCCCGGCGUUUGUUGGGUGCUCGAGUGGCGAACGGGUGAGUAACACGUGAGUAACCUGCCCUUGACUUUGUGAUAACUUCAGGAAACUGGGGCUAAUACCGGAGAGGAUCUCCUGCUGCAUGGUGGGGGUUGGAAAGUUUCGGCGGUUGGGGAUGGACUCGCAGCUUAUCAGCUUGUUGGUGGGGUAGUGGCUUACCACGGCUUUGACGGGUAGCCGGCCUGAGAGGGUGACCGGCGACAUUGGGACUGAGAUACGGCCCAGACUGCUACGGGAGGCAGCAGUGAGGAAUAUUGCACAAUGGGGGGAAGCCAGAUGUAGCAACGCCGCGUGCGGGAUGACGGCCUUCGGGUUGUAAACCGAUUUGGCCUGUGACGAAGAGUGAGUGACGGUACUGGGUAAAGAAGCACCGGCUAACUACGUG